UUGGAGGGCAAGUCUGGUGCCAGCAGCCGCGGUAAUUCCAGCUCCAAUAGCGUAUAUUAAAGUUGUUGCAGUUAAAAAGCUCGUAGUUGAAUUUCGGGGUCAGCAGGUUGGUCGUGCCAAUGGUAUGCACUGGCCUUGCUGAUUCCUCCCUCUUGAUGAGCCGUAAUGCCAUUAAUUUGGUGUUGCGGGGAAUCAGGACUGUUACUUUGAAAAAAUUAGGGUGUUUAAAGCAGGCAAGCGCUUGAAUACAUUAGCAUGGAAUAAUGAAAUAGGACGUUUAAUCCUAUUUUGUUGGUUUCUAGGAUUGACGUAAUGAUUAAUAGGGAUAGUUGGGGGCAUUAGUAUUCAAUUGUCAGAGGUGAAAUUCUUGGAUUUAUUGAUGACUAACUACUGCGAAAGCAUUUACCAAGGAUGAUUUCAUUAAUCAAGAACGAAAGUUAGGGGAUCGAAGACGAUCAGAUACCGUCGUAGUCUUAACCAUAAACUAUGCCGACUAGGGAUCGGGAUGAAUGU
rnacentral:rRNA from 1 species